AGAACGAACGCUGGCGGCAGGCCUCAAACAUGCAAGUCUAGGGGGUGUAGCAAUACAUCACCGGCGGACGGGUGCGUAACACGUGGGAAUAUACCUUUUGGUUCGGAACAACGCAGGGAAACUUGCGCUAAUACCGAAUGUGCCCUUACGGGGAAAGAUUUAUCGCCAAAGGAUUAGCCCGCGUAGGAUUAGCUAGUUGGUGAGGUAAUAGCUCACCAAGGCUCCGAUCCUUAGCUGUUCUGAGAGGAAGAUCAGCCACACUGGGACUGAGACACGGCCCAGACUCCUACGGGAGGCAGCAGUUGGGAAUCUUGGACAAUGGGGAAACCCUGAUCCAGCCAUGCCGCGUGAGUGAUGAAGGCCUUCGGGUUGUAAAACUCUUUCGGACGGGGACGAUAAUGACGGUACCCGUAGAAGAGCUCGGCUAACUUCGCGCCAGCACGCCGC
rnacentral:rRNA from 1 species